rnacentral:rRNA from 1 species
UACGAAGGGGCUAGCGUUGUUCGGAAUCACUGGGCGUAAAGGGCGCGUAGGCGGCCGAUCAAGUCGGGGUGAAAGCCUGUGGCUCAACCACAGAAUUGCCUUCGAUACUGUUUGGCUUGAGACCGGAAGAGGUUAGUGGAACUGCGAGUGUAGAGGUGAAAUUCGUAGAUAUUCGCAAGAACACCAGUGGCGAAGGCGGCUGACUGGUCCGGUUCUGACGCUGAGGCGCGAAAGCGUGGGGAGCAACAGG